GGGCCCGCACAAGCGGUGGAGUAUGUGGUUUAAUUCGAUGCAACGCGAAGAACCUUACCAGGGUUUGACAUCCUGCGAAUCUCUUGGAAACGAGAGAGUGCCUUCGGGAACGCAGUGACAGGUGGUGCAUGGCUGUCGUCAGCUCGUGUCGUGAGAUGUUGGGUUAAGUCCCGCAACGAGCGCAACCCACGUCUUUAGUUGCCAGCAUUUAGUUGGGCACUCUAUGGAAACUGCCCGUGAUAAGCCGGAGGAAGGUGGGGAUGACGUCAAGUCCUCAUGGCCCUUACAGGCUGGGCUACACACGUGCUACAAUGGCGAUGACAGUGGGCAGCGACCCCGCAAGGGUGAGCUAA
rnacentral:rRNA from 1 species